AUUGAACGCUGGCGGCAGGCCUAACACCUGCAAGUCGAGCGAGCGGCGGACGGGUGAGUAAUGUCUGGGACACUGCCUGAUGGAGGGGGAUAACUACUGGAAACGGUAGCUAAUACCGCAUACCAUCAGAUGUGCCCAGAUGGGAUUAGCUAGUAGGUGGGGUAACGGCUCACCUAGGCCACGAUCCCUAGCUGGUCUGAGAGGAUGACCAGCCACACUGGAACUGCGACACGGUCCAGACUCCUACGUUAGGCAGCGGUGGGGAAUAUUGAACAAUGGGCGCAAGCCUGAUGCAGCCAUGCCGCGUGUGUGAAGAAUGCCGUCGGGUUGUAAAGCACUUUCAGCGGGGAGGCGUUACCCGCAGAAGAGGCACCGGCUAACUCCGUGCCAGCAGCCGCGGUAAUAC
rnacentral:rRNA from 1 species